rnacentral:tRNA from 1 species
UGGGGUGUGGCUCAGUUGGGAGGCACUUGCCUUGCAAGCAGGGGUCCAGGAGUUCGACUCUCCUCAUCUCCACCA